UAUUAGGUUGGUGCAAAAGUAAUUGCAGUUUUUGCCAUUACUUUCAAUAGCAAAUACUGCAAUUAUUUUUGCACUAACUUAAUAU
rnacentral:miRNA from 1 species